UUGAAACAUUGGUUCCCGUGCGAUCAUCGAAGUUAAGCAAUGGUGAGCCUAGUCAGUACCUAGAUGGGUGACCGCUUGGGAAUACCAGGUGCUGUAAG